rnacentral:rRNA from 1 species
UACGUAGGGUGCGAGCGUUGUCCGGAAUUAUUGGGCGUAAAGGGCUCGUAGGCGGUUUGUUGCGUCGGGAGUGAAAACUCAGGGCUUAACCCUGAGCCUGCUUCCGAUACGGGCAGACUAGAGGUAUGCAGGGGAGAACGGAAUUCCUGGUGUAGCGGUGAAAUGCGCAGAUAUCAGGAGGAACACCGGUGGCGAAGGCGGUUCUCUGGGAAUGUUCUGACGCUGAGGAGCGAAAGUGUGGGGAGCGAACAGG